CAAGUUAAACAACGCAGACAGUGAAUGCCUUGCUUCUUAUCUCCGAAGAAGGACGUACAUAGCCACGAAAGUCGCCGGGUAGCUGCUACGAAGCUUUGAUCCGACGGUGUCCGAAUGGGGAAACCCAGCCAGUUUUACUGGUUACACACAUUUAAAAAAGUACUCGUAAGAGUAUUUAUAGAGUGUGCUGUGGAAACCACCUGAACCGAAACAUCCAAGUAAGGUGAGGAAAAUAAAUCAACGAGAUUCCGCUAGUAGCGGCGAGCGAAAACGGAACAGUCUAAACCCCAUUCCAAUUUAUUGGAAAGGGGGGUUGCAGGAGCCCAAUGUGGGAUUAGUGUUUGAUAGCAGAGUGGUCUGGAAUGGCCAAUCAAAGAGCGUGAAAAUCGUGUAUGCAAAAUCAAACAUUACCCUAGGGAUUUCCUAAGUACCACGGAGCACAUACUCUGUGGGAAUCCGGGGGAACCAUCCUCCAAGACUAAAUAAGAUAAGAGAGCGAUAGUGAACAAGUACCGUGAGGGAAAGGUGAAAAGCUGGGUGAGACACCCAAUGAAAUAGAACCUGAAACUGUUUGCGGUCAAACCGUGAGAGCACCGCAAGGUGUGAUCGCGUGCCUAUUGAAGAAUGAGCCGGCGAGUUUUCAGUUACUUCUUAUGUCUAACCCCAAUUUGGGGGGAGGCGAAGGGAAACCAAGUGUGAAUAGCGCGUUUGGAGUAACUGGAAGACCCGAAGCUGGGUGAGCUAGCCAUGAGCAGGGUGAAUGUUGAUGAAAGUCGACAAGAGGCCCGAACCCGUUGUUGUUGCAAUAACAUGGGAUGACUUGUGGUUAGAGGCAAUAUACUUAUCGAACCCAGAGAUAGCUGGUUCUCCCCGAAAGGUCUAUGGGGACCGUGGUCCGUAACGUUCUGCUGGUUGUAGAGCACUGGAUGGGCAAGAGAGCGCAAGCAAUUUUGCUCAAUCAAACUCCGAAUACUAGCGUGAGCUAUCGAACUAGAAAGCCGCAUCGGGCUAAGCUGAUGCGACGAAAGGGAAACAACCCUUGACUCUCAGUUAAGGCCUCUAAAUUACAACUAAGUUUGAAAGGAAGUUUCCUUUCUCAGACAGCCAGGAGGUUGGCNNGAUAGCGUAACAGCUCACUGGUCGAUGAGAGGGAGCGCCGAAGAUUUAUCGAGGAUAAGUUGUAUGCCGAAGCUAGAGAUUUUGUCUUGAAUUUAUUCAAGAUGGAGUGGUAGGGGAGCGUUCCAACAGCGGUGAAGCUGAACCGGAAGGUUUGGUGGAGCGGUUGGGAGUGAGAAUGUCGGCUUGAGUAGCGCACAACUCAGGUGAGAAUCCUGAGCGUCGAAUGUCCAAGGUUUCCACUGCAAGAUUCGUUCACAGUGGGUUAAUCGGUUCCUAAGGCGAGGCCAAAUGGCGUAGUCGAUGGAUGAUUGGUCAAAAUUCCAAUAUUUGUUUUAAAUCGUUAAUAACUAGGGAUUGACUAAGCAGGAGUUUCGGAGCUUUUUCGUGAAGUAAAGUGCAUAAAUCGAGGUAGUUCUGACUGGAAAAUCCGUCAGAGCGUUUAAUCAAGAUGAUGCAAAGUUCCCCGCGAGGGGGGCGAUUUCGAAAUUUUCAGUUUACAAGAAAAGAUUCGUAGUGAGAUUUAAGAUAAGCCGUACCGCAAACCGACACAGGUGGACUGGGGGAGCACCCUAAGACGAUCGAGAGACAAAUCCUCAAGGAACUCGGCAAAAAAACUACCCGUAACCUCGGGAGAUGGGUUGCCUUGCUUAAAAACAAGGUGGCACCUAAAGUUUAUUAGUCGACUGUUUAUCAAAAACACAGGUCCGUGCAAAGGCGAAAGCUGAAGUAUACGGGCUGACGCUUGUCCAGUGCCGGUAAGUUAAGAGGAGGGGUGCUAGUCGCAAGAUUAAUGCUCUGAAUUUAAGCUCCGGUGAACGGCAGCAGUAACUAUAACUGUUCUAAGGUGGACAAUACUGCCUUAGGUGAAAGGUUUUAACUCCUUUCCGUUUGCUAGGCGGCAAACGAAAAAUUUGGCUAAAUGCUGGAAUAACUCGUUAAGUUGAAGCUACUAUGGUAUGAUCUAUCCUUAGAUGAUAUCAAGUAAAAAUGCUUCAAAUAGAGUCAAUCAGCAGGAAAGACUUAAAACGGUCGGAUGGAUUGUCGGGUUUGUAGAUGGAGAAGGAUGUUUUUCUGUAUCAGUAUUUAAGAAUAAGACAACCAAAAAUGGUUGGCAGAUUUUUCCGGAAUUUGUUGUAACGCAAGGUGAAAAAAGUCUUGAAGCACUUAAAAUAAUCAAAAGUUAUUUUAAAUGCGGAGAAAUUUAUAUUAACCAUCGCUAUGAUAACCAUACGGAGAAUCUCUACCGCUUUUGUGUUCGUAAUAUUCACGAUCUGAAAGAUAAAAUUAUUCCAUUUUUCGAAUCCAACAACUUGAGGUCUGCAAAAAUAAAAGAUUUUGAAAUUUUUAGUAGGGUGGUGAACCUUAUGAAUAGUAAGGAACACUUAACUUCUGAAGGUUUUGAUAAAAUUUUAAAAUUAGCAGGCAAAAGACAGUUUUAGGAAUCCUCAGAGACUAUAUGCCAAAACUUAAUCAAAUAUUUUUGGUUAGGUAAGAUAUAGCCCGAUCUCCGGUGAGAAUCGGAGUUAACAUUUUGAGCGAAGUUCCUUGCCAGGUAAGUUCUGGCCCGCAUGAAUAGCGUAACGAGCUAAUAACUGUCUUGAGGGUUUACUCGGCGAAAUAGCGAUGGCUGUGAAGACGCGGCCUACUUCCACAUGGACAAAAAGACCCCGUG
rnacentral:rRNA from 1 species